UGAACAUCUUUCUGUCAUUAUAUAGCCAUAAUUAACAAAAUUAGUGGCUAUUGCAUAUUCACUCAUUUAAUGUGUCAUAAUGUAUUUAACCUUAGUUUCUGUUUUUUUUUUUUUUAAGAAUGGCCUUCUCCAAGGUUUUUAUUUAUUCAUAUAUUUAUUUUUUAAUGAUUGGCCCUGAGCCAACAUCUGUUGCCAAUCUUCCUCUUUUUUUCCUUCUCCUCAAAGCCCCCCAGUACAUAGUUCUAUAUUCUAGUUGUGCUAUGUGGGAUGCUGCUUCAGCGUGACCUAAUGAGUGGUGCCAUGUACAUGCCCAGGAUCCAAACCCGUGAAACCCCGGGCCACUGAUGUGGAGCACGUGAACUUAACCACUCGGCCGUGAGGCUGGCCCCUAACCUUAGUUUCUUAAUCUAAUUCAAUUGCACAACAAUAUUUAAAAGUAAAAUGUGUGGCUAGAAGACCAAAGGAGCGUGUAAUACAAUUUUGGAUAAAAGAAGAUAGCAGAAAACAAUCACACAAAUGAAUCAGAAAACAUAUUUUCUUCAUUCAUAGUAGAAUAAAAAUAGAGAAGCUGAGACACAUUUAUUUUAUCAGGAACAAAAAUGAACCAAAUAUUUUAAAUAUGUACCGAAAUUAUAAUCAAAAUUAGAUUUGUAUAAAAAGAUCAUCAAAGUGAUGGCAUACAUCAAGAGAGUUGGAAAAUGCAGUUUCUGUGUCAAUGCACAGAUCAAACAGCAUGUUUUUUGCCUGAAUUAUUACAUAGUUUACUGGUAGUCUUCAUAGGGUGCAUCCUUUUCUUAAGUGAAAUUCAUCCAUUCGCCAUUUUUCCUUCAUUCACUCAUUCAGCAAUUGUUUACUGAGGACCUGAUAUCUGCCGAUCUCUCUCAUAUUCCACAGAUACAGUAAUGAACCAAACAGAUACAGUCUUUCCUUUCCCAAACUCACAAACUAGUGAAAUGGGCAGAAAUUAAACAUAUAAUUACACAUAGAAAUGUAGUGGCCUGGGUUUUUACCAUCCCCACUCUCUUUUUCUUCAGAUCUGGCACAAAUCAGACCAAAGACAUAGAGAGACUAAAGGGAACGAGUCCUGCCAGGGUGGGGAGUUCUCAUUGUCCUGAAAUCACACUGCAUGAAGUUAAACCACAGGCUGGUUCUCCCUCUUCCUUCUCUUGCUACACAGUGGACUCCAAAGCCCAGCCUCCUUCUCCUAUCCCCACGUUGGCUGUGGGGCUGGGUCCAAGAAAUCCAGAAGCCGCAGGGAAGGGGGAGAGAAAGAAGCUUCCAAGCAGGAAGCUUUCCCUAUUGCCUGGAGAGAGACGCUGGGUUUAUGUAUCCAUACAUCUAUAUGCUUGGAUAUUUACGUUUGGGAAAGUAAGGACUCAUGCAUGUUUAAAACCUUUCAGUACAACUUGUCUACUUUUCUCCUAUUUGUUGGAGAAGUAUGUUGAGGGAAAUAGGAAUCAACUCUUUCAGAAAUCUUGAGGACUUUUGGUGCAUUAUAACCAAAGAAUCAGCUAAUAUAAUUGUGCAUCUGCCUAUAUCAAUAUAUUACCAAUAUAUAACUUUGUGUGCAUUUUAUAAUCAUCUUUCUUAUGCCCUGCUAUAUCUAAGAAGACCCUGGAAUAGUGUAUCCUGGCUGCGUAUUGGAAUCAGCUGGGUGGUUUUAAAACAUUCUGAAUCCUGGGUCCCACUUCCAGAGAACCUGAUGCAGUAGUUCUGGAAUGUGGUCUGCGCAUUGGGAAUCCGGAAACUGCUUGGGUAACUCUAAUGUGUGUCCGAGGUUAAAAAUCACUGGCCUAAAACAAAGUGUUAUGGCUUUAAAAAGAGAAAGAAAAAUGUAUUUUCCUUCCUUAUUAAUUGUGCUGUGAAUAUAAGCAUUACAAUUGGAGCUUAAACUCUACAGAUUAACUAUUGUUGUCUCUUGUUUUUCCACACCCCCACCAAGGCAAAUGUCUGAGAUAGAGUUGCUCCAAGAUUCUCCCUAAAUUCUACGCAUCAGCUCACCAAUUCUUGCUGAUGGUAUGCAUCACUACUUCACAGGACCUGUGCUGGGAAGUUCCCAUGCCUCUGAGAGGCUCUUCCCUGCUUACAGCUUUAUACCACGGGAGGAACUGAACCCCCCAGUACAUAGCUGUACAUACUUCGCUGUGGGUCCCUCCAGCCGUGGCAUGCAGGACGCUGCCUCAGCGUGGCCCGAUGAUCAGUGCCAUGUCCGCAACCAGGACUCGAACCAACGAAACACUGGGCCGCCUGCAGCGCAGCGCGCAAACCCAACCACUAGGCCAUGGGGCCAGCCCCCUGAGCGCUGUUUUUUAAGUGAGGAGCUACCAUGGUGUCUUUCCAAAUUAUGAUAGUAAAAAACUGUCUGUACGUGCUUGAUCUAGUUUUAGUUGUAUUUCUGUGACUCACAUUCUAAACAUCUUAACCAAUACAGAAAACUCAACCUCUAGGUUGAUAAAUUAUCUGACAUAAUACAGGGUGAGAAAAUAACAAGCAGGCAAUUCUGAAAUUCUCUCACACUUACAUUGCUCAAUUCUGUUGAUCCUCUUCAGUAGGUCCUUGAUCUGAUUACAUAGCUAUGCAGUGGUUCAUAGUGUUUUGAUUUCCUUUGCAUUUCUAAUUGCUAAACAUUCACGUUAAGAAAUGAGACUCUAUCAGGUGGCCUUCUAAUAUCUUCUGAAAAAUGUUGGCUCUCUGUUGUGUCCAUGUCACCAUGUCCAUGGAGUUCAACAUUAGUUUAUAACUCGUGCUCUCCAUGCCUUAGUCCCUAAUAUGUGUCCUGUGUUCACGUAGGAAUAGGUGGGGCCAUUCAAAUCUCACUUGGCUAAAAGAAUCCCUAAUUAUGUGGCUCCACUUUGAAAACAGAGAGUCCUUCAUUGAAAACAGAAGGUCUAUAUAUCACUAUGAAACAUUUCACCCCCAAGUAACUCAAAAUCUCUUCCUGGUUAAUAGGAUAUCUUUCCAUAUUGGAUAAUUCCAUAGUCUUUCUAGACCGACUUAAAUCCUUUCUUGAAAUAGACCAUUCUAAAGACAAACAUAAGUAAUUUACAACCCUUGUGGAAUAACCCUUGUUUAUUCAUUGAAUAAAUAUGUAUUGGAUAAAUCAUAUGUAUCAGCCUUACUCUAAGCACUGAUGAUAGAGCAAUGAAAAAGAUAGACAAGUUUCCUGCCAUCAGGAAGUUUAAAUUCCAGUAGUUGAAAACAAAAAUCAAUGACAAUUAAAUAAAUAAACAAAUUUGAAUAAUUAUUUCAAAUAAGAGUAAAAGCUAUGAAGAAAAUGAAAUAGCAUCAUAUAAAAGAAAAUGUAAGUAUGGGGAAAUAUAAGAUGUGGUGGGAAAGGGAGAAGGCUUUGAGGAGUUGACAUUAGAUCAGAGACUCAAAGAACUAGAUAUCACCCUUGCAAAGAUAUAAAAAAGAGGUGACUCACAUAGAAGCAAAAGCAAAUCCCAUACCCUUGUGCUAACCAGACUGCAAUGAUCCCUUCCUCUUGAUAGUUAUGCCUUUAUAUAAUAUCGUGCCAAAAUAAAUAGUGCUAACUUGUGUAACCAAAACAACAAUGCAGAAAUAAUGGUGUGUGACUUACGAAGCUAGGUCAUAAAAGACAUUAGGGCUUCCAUCUUGCUCUCCUGGAGCACUCAUUCUUAGGGAACCAGUUGCCAUGUUGUGAGGACACUCAAGAAAAUGCAUGGGUAAGGCCAUAUGGUGAGGAACUAAAGAACUCUGCCCAGAGCCAGUGAGGAACAGAGGCCUCCUGCCAACAGCCAUGUGAAUUAGCCAUAGUGGAAAUGAAUCAUCUAGCACCAGAUAAGCCUCCUGACGACAUCAGCCCAGACCAGCAUCUUGACGGCACCUUUCUGAGAGACCACAAGCCACAACUUACCAGCUGAGUCACUCCUAAAUUCAUGUACCACAAAAAACGGAGAUAAUAAGUGUUUGUUGUUUUAAACCAUUAAGUUUGGGAUAAUUUGUCACAGUAAUAGAUAACUAGUGUAGAGUCUGUAAUGAAGUGGAGUGCUGCUGUAAAAAAUACCUGAAAAUAUGUGGGAAUGGCUUUGAAAUCAGGCAGUGAAAAGAUGCAAGGACUUAGAGGAAAGGAGAAAACCUAAAAUUCUGUGAACAGACUGUAGGCAGAAGUGUGAUGACUUUUGAGGAGGCUGAUACUGAGGUCUUAAAGCAGAAUGAAGGAAAAAGGAUCCUUGUUGUAUACUGGUAGAAAGUUUAGCAAUACUAUUAUCUGCAGCCCUGUGGAAAGUAGAAAAUGUGGUUAGU
rnacentral:lncRNA from 1 species